rnacentral:rRNA from 1 species
UACGUAGGGUGCGAGCGUUGUCCGGAAUUACUGGGCGUAAAGAGCUCGUAGGUGGUUUGUCGCGUUGUCCGUGAAAACUCACAACUCAAUUGUGGGCGUGCGGGCGAUACGGGCAGACUGGAGUACUGCAGGGGAGACUGGAAUUCCUGGUGUAGCGGUGGAAUGCGCAGAUAUCAGAGGAACACCGGUGCGAAGGGCGGUUCUCUGGGGAAUGAUCCUUGACGCUGAGGAGCGAAAGUGUGGGGAGCGAACAGG